UACGUAGGGUGCAAGCGUUGUCCGGAAUUAUUGGGCGUAAAGGGCGCGCAGGCGGCUACGCACGUCCGUUGUGAAAUCGCUCGGCUCAACUGGGCGGGGUCAGCGGAUACGGCGUAGCUGGAGCAAGCUAGGGGGCAAUGGAAUUCCCGGUGUAGUGGUGGAAUGCGUAGAUAUCGGGAGGAACACCAGUGGCGAAGGCGGCUCACUGGACCACAACUGACGCUGAUGCACGAAAGCUAGGGGAGCAAACAGG
rnacentral:rRNA from 1 species